GACCCCGGUAUGAAUUGGUGUCACGAGGGUCUCACCUGUCUUAAGGAAAUUUCCAGUGAAAUUGAAUUUGUAGUGAAGAUGCUACAUCCAAAUUGUUAGACAAGAAGUCCCCAUGGAACUUUACUGGAGACUUAUGUGGCUUAAAUUAAUUUAUUUCUUACAAAUAAAUAGUUUUAAAAUGUGGUGUUAACCCCUCGGAUUAACUAGGGUUAUAAAAGCUCACUCUUUUAUUUAAAGAAAGCCAACUCAAAAAGUUAUGUCUUUGGGAUUUGAUAAGUGGGACAGUUUGGUUGGGGCGACCGCCUUUAAAAAAGUAACGAAGGCGGGCUUAAGAUACAUAUUUAGUGAUGUCUGACUGCCAAGGGGAGAUCCUGAGCAGACACUUACUUUUUAGGUGGGUUUAAGUGACCCGUUGAUUUAGGGUGAAAUAGUUAACGAUAAACAGA
rnacentral:rRNA from 1 species